rnacentral:rRNA from 1 species
CACACCGCCCGUCACACCAUGGGAGUAAUUUUCACCAGAAGCAGAUAGUCUAACCGCAAGGAGGGCGUUUGCCACGGUGAGAGUUAUGACUGGGGUG